GAGCAAUAUUAGCAUACAUUUGAAACCGUGUUUCUGGCCAACUGAUGAAUCUGACCUGUGUGGUGCUUCAGAAAUAAUAACAGAAUUGAGAACAGCAACAGCGGUGACAAGAGCUAUUACAACGCCAUGCAACACAACAACAGAGGACAGACAGCACUCCGCACCAGAUGGGUGCUUCCUGUGCCAGGCAGGAAAUGGCACUGAGCUCCCUUGCCAUCAUAUUUUAUUUUAGCAGAGAACAGAGAUGAUCAUCACUUCAUCCUCGACACAUCCAUCCCCCAACGGGAAGUCCGCACAAAGCUAGUACAGGAGGACACAAUGAGGUGGCAGCUCCGCUUGGCUCCAGCAUAGCCGGAACAGGAAGCGAAUUACCUCCCACGGGUCUCUGUGGUGUGUCUGUGUCUGGUUGUGUGUUGUGUG